rnacentral:lncRNA from 1 species
GUGGAAGGUGGGAGCCUCAUCGAAGAGGGGCCUCGCAAGUGGAUGUAGGUCAUUUGACCGAACCACUUUAAAAUCAGCGUGAUCUCUGGUUUGCAUUUCAUUAUUGCUAUUUACAUUACUGCAAACUUUCUUACGUGCUUUAUUUCCUCAUUACCUUUGCUGCACAACUAUACAAAUACGCUUUCAAGUUAAGCACUUCCGAGUUCAAUAUUUAUCGUAC